rnacentral:rRNA from 1 species
UGGGGAAUAUUGGACAAUGGGCGCAAGCCUGAUCCAGCCAUGCCGCGUGAGUGAUGAAGGCCCUAGGGUUGUAAAGCUCUUUCACCGGUGAAGAUAAUGACGGUAACCGGAGAAGAAGCCCCGGCUAACUUCGUGCCAGCAGCCGCGGUAAUACGAAGGGGGCUAGCGUUGUUCGGAUUUACUGGGCGUAAAGCGCACGUAGGCGGACUUUUAAGUCAGGGGUGAAAUCCCGGGGCCCAACCCCGGAACUGCCUUUGAUACUGGUAGUCUUGAGUUCGAGAGAGGGGAGUGGAAAGCCGAGUGUAGAGGUGAAAUUCGUAGAUAUUCGGAGGAACACCAGUGGCGAAGGCGGCUGACUGGCUCGAUACUGACGCUGAGGUGCGAAAGCGUGGGGAGCAAACAGG